UAGUUCAAUAGGUCAUUCCUGUUUACCGUGGCCUCAAGGAAUGUGGCCCUUGAUCU
rfam:Vicugna pacos cont1.160655, whole genome shotgun sequence.